GCGGAUGUGAUGGAAUUGGUAGACAUGCGAGAUUUAGGUUCUCGUGCCGUAAGGCGUGUGGGUUCGAGCCCCUUCAUCCGCACCA
rnacentral:tRNA from 1 species